rnacentral:lncRNA from 1 species
UGUUGUUAUGAACUCAGGUCUUUCUUGCUGGCCUUUUGUGCAUCAAUAUUCCUGACUUUGCCAGCCCCUUUCCAUCAUGGGUGGUGGCGUUUGACCCUCUUCUGGGCUUGUGCAGAGCAUCAGAGCCAUGCGGUUGUGGCCUCAUAGGGCUUUCUGGCUGGCAAUGUCUUAUAUUUAGGAAUAGUUCUUUUUGUGUCAGGCUUUCCUUUGUGUCUGUGUCUGAUAUUUGUGUGUCUGUCUGUUUGGGGUUGGAGCUGCCUUGGCUGYGGGUGUUAGCUAUGGUAGUGUGCAGAGGAGAGUAGUGAUGGAAUGGUGAUUAGUCAGCAUCUGUGUGCUGCACUUUUUUGUGUGUGUUUUGAUUUUUUUUUUUGUAGAUGUGGCGCAGCAGUUGGAGUGCCUGAGGGAGAUGGAGGAAGAAAGGGUCAUGCCCUAGGAAGGUGUGGAGCAACGUGGAGAGUGGGUCGCUUGCAUGCAGGAGGAGCAUGGCAAGGUGAGUGUCGGUCUGAGAGCGGUAGCAGAGCCUAGCAUAGGGCUGUUGUCUCAUUGGUGCUGUCCCCAUUUCCCAGUGCUGUUCUGGUUUUACAGGUGCGUGACAGGCCUCGGCGUGGCAGCCGGUCACAUGGCAGUUGGGAUGGGCGAGCAGAGCAGGUGAAGGUGUGGGAGCAAAUGGUUGAUGUGGGUGGGCUGUGGUUUUGCAGGUGUGACCCGAGCGCCUGCUUUCUGUUUGUGUUUGCARGUUUUGCAGGAAGUUGUGGAGWGGCAAAGUUGAGCGUUGACAAGAGCCUGAGCAGGUGAGAAGGGGCGCUUGUCGGGUCCGAGGUUUCUUGUGCGGUGGGUAGUGCUGGGCUGCCUGUCGGUGAUGUCUCUCGCUCUGCUUGUCCAGGUACUGCRUGGGCC